UAUAAAACAAAUAAUGAAUGUUUUUAUUCGUGCAAUGGUAAGAAUAUUUUCAUUCGGUGAAAGAUGGAACAUUCCAUCUUUCAUCUCAUGAAAAUAUUCUUACCAUUGCACUCAUAAACAUUCAUUAUUUGUAUACUA